rnacentral:ncRNA from 1 species
UAAUUGAAUUAAAAAUUAAAUUACCUCGGUUAUAAAAGAGUUGAUAACUCUCCGAGACACUUCGUAUAAUGCGGUGAAAGAGAUAAGGAUACUUUCUCUUUUAACCGUUGGAAAUUUCGUGAGAAAUACGCCAAUAAGAGGAAACCUCAAAAAUUAAGAAGUGGUGCAGAGAGCUAUCGUAAUCAAAAAAGCAAGAACUCAAGGCGAGAGUAAUAGACGCUCUUGUGGAGAAUAAGCAUUAAACUUGUUGGGUGGAACCAAUAGAGUAAAUAAUGUAUUCCAAAAUAAUCUCGUUCGUCGUGAAGCGGAGAAAUCUGUGUAUAACUUGAGUAGCUUGGUCGAGUAGCCCAAAGACGAAUAUUACUAAUAUCUUUAAUAUUAUUUAUUGGACAUAAUGAAAGAAGAAAUUUUCUGAAUGUCGGGUGAAAGUUAGAAGUAACCAAUCUUCUACGAGUUUGUGAUGUGUGGUAUAAUUCCAUAUAACGGCUUAGUGUCCGUGUCUAGGGUAGGAAGUAUAGAGACGACGGUUUCUAUGCUCAGACCUAUCUUCUCGGUGCUUGAAAAUUGAUGCGAUAGUGGAUGUAAGACGAAGGUCUAUUUAAUUUUUAAUUCAGU